UACGGAGGGUGCAAGCGUUAUCCGGAUUCACUGGGUUUAAAGGGUGCGUAGGUGGGUUGGUAAGUCAGUGGUGAAAUCCCCGAGCUUAACUUGGGAACUGCCAUUGAUACUAUCAGUCUUGAAUACCGUGGAGGUCAGCGGAAUAUGUCAUGUAGCGGUGAAAUGCUUAGAUAUGACAUAAAACACCAAUUGCGAAGGCAGCUGGCUACACGAAUAUUGACACUCAGGCACGAAAGCGUGGGGAUCAAACAGG
rnacentral:rRNA from 1 species